rnacentral:rRNA from 1 species
CGGGUGAGUAAUGUCUGGGAAACUGCCUGAUGGAGGGGGAUAACUACUGUAAACGGUAGCUAAUACCGCAUAACGUCGCAAGACCAAAGAGGGGGACCUUCGGGCCUCUUGCCAUCAGAUGUGCCCAGAUGGGAUUAGCUAGUAGGUGGGGUAACGGCUCACCUAUGCGACGAUCCCUAUCUGGUCUGAGAGGAUGACCAGCCACACUGUAACUGAGACACGGUCCAGACUCCUACGGGAGGCAGCAGUGGGGAAUAUUGCGCAAUGGGCGCAAGCCUGAUGCAGCCAUGCCGCGUGUAUGAAAAAGGCCUUCGGGUUGUAAAGUACUUUCAGCGGGGAGGAAGGUGUUGAGGUUAAUAACCUCGUCAAUUGACGUUACCCGCACAAAAAGCACCGGCUAACUCCGUGCCAGCAGCCGCGGUAAUACGGAGGGUGCGAGCGUUAAUCGGAAUUACUGGGCGUAAAGCCACGCAGGCGGUCUGUCAAGUCGGAUGUGAAAUCCCCGGGCUCAACCUGGGAACUGCAUUCUAAACUGGCAGGCUAUAGUCUUGUAUAGGGGGGUAGAAUUCCAGGUGUAUCGGUGAAAUGCGUAUAGAUCUGGAGGAAUACCGGUGGCGAAAGCGGCCCCCUGGACAAAGACUGACGCUCAGGUGCGAAAGCGUGUGGAGCAAACAGGAUUAUAUACCCUGGGAGUCCACGCCGUAAACGAUGUCGACUUGGAGGUUGUGCCCUUGAGGCGUGGCUUCCGGAGCUAACGCGUUAAGUCG